GGACCCGCACAAGUAGUGGAGCAUGUGGUUUAAUUCGAAGAUACGCGCAGAACCUUACCAACACUUGACAUGUUCGUCGCGACUCUAAGAGAUUAGAGUUUUCGGUUCGGCCGGACGAAACACAGGUGCUGCAUGGCUGUCGUCAGCUCGUGUCGUGAGAUGUUGGGUUAAGUCCCGCAACGAGCGCAACCCUCACUUUUAGUUGCCAUCAUUAAGUUGGGCACUCUGAAAGAACUGCCAGUGAUAAGCUGGAGGAAGGUGGGGAUGACGUCAAGUCCUCAUGGCCCUUACGUGUUGGGCUACACACGUGCUACAAUGGUAUCUACAACAGGAAGCAAGACUGCGAAGUUAAGCAAAUCCCUAAAAGAUACCUCAGUUCGGAUUGCACUCUGCAACUCGAGUGCAUG
rnacentral:rRNA from 1 species